ensembl:lncRNA
CCACAAUGGAAAGGAGUCUAUCACCUCUCAAAAGUGAUGGGCACGUUAUUGAGGAAAGCUUAAUCUGGGUUGUAGAAGAGUCUAAAUAACCAUUGCUGCUUAAUACUGAUGGUGAUGAAGAUGAAAACACACCUACCCUGUAAGGGUUUUCUCAGCGCCAAGCACUAUCUAAGUGGUACCAACUCAGUCUUUACAGUGACCCUGAGAUAGGUACUAUUAUCCUCACUUGACGUUUGAAGGACAGGCACUGUGAGGGUGAGAAACUCGCUUAGGGACACAUAGCCCGUGUCCCUCCCUCGUGGCCUCCUCCGACUGCCUCUCAUCUCUUCAGAGACUCUUCAUAGCCCCCUUCUCUAUGCUUCCAGGCUCGGCUCCCAUCACACCUUCAGCAUAUGCGGAAGGGCUGGUCAUUUCCCCUUUAUCCCUCAACUCUCCUCCGUGAGGCCCCGAGUGCCUCCAUUCCAGAAAUGUGAGGCUCAAAUGUGCCUUUGCCCAGCCCUGCCUUUGUGUUCUCGUGGGAAGUUAUGAGCGUGGGACAGGUGUUAGCCAACAAGAGGGAGAUGGUCCCCUAAAGCUCUGUACAUUACAAGAACACAAGCAGUACUACCUGAGGAUUCCUGCAAAGUCAAGCAUCUUUUGUCAAGAUCAAGUACCAUGGAGCUUGAACAUCUUAAUGUUACUGACCCACGUUCUUGGACUCUUUGACCAGUAAAAAUUGAUCAGAGGCCAGGCGUGGAAUUCAGGCAAAACUUCACUGGGACACCCACUGCUGCACAAGGAAGUGAAAACCAGUAACAGGUGCCCCCGCUAGCUCCCCAAGGUGGUGCAAGAUGGUCCCUAAAAUGGGAAUGAAGAUUUGUUUCGCACACUGCUGGGGACCCACUGAGGAAUUCCAGCUAUGCCGUGCACACGCACAGUGGGAGAUGGCGACCCCCCAGAGCCGGACUUGGCAGCUCAGCUCCUCCGUUGAAUGUUAAAUCAGUCCCCAGGAAACACUAGCAAAGCACUAAUUUUGGUAACCCUUGGCUGCACAGAAGCAACUGUGCAUAAUAAUGGCCCUCUAGGGAAUUGUAUCCACUCACUUGUAAGUACCAAGGAAAGGACUGCAUUGUUCUUAUCAACUGGUGGCCCAUCUGACGUCCCUCCUCGUGGGCUGCUGACUCUGUCUUUUAUAAAAGAAGGCCUUGGGAGACCUAUAAAUGUCACACCUCCCAGAUGGGUUUUGCAUGGAACUUGGGAGUGAACAAUUGAGUCUGGAAUACUGAUAUUCUAAUUUGCUGAUGGAGGGGGCUUUAUCUGGUUAAUAAUUUAUUUCCCUUUAUUUAAUAAACAUGUAUUGAGC